UAACGUGUUCUCCGCCAGGCUGGGUCCUGCCCCAGACCGUGGCCCCAGCCCCUACCCUCCCGUGUUCUGAAUCCUUUGCACUUCCUCAUGAAUUUUAGAUCCAGCUUGCCAACCUCCAGCAAAAAAGCCUGGUGCCUUUUGUUUGGGAUUCCACUGAAUCUAUAGAUCAGUUUGAAAGAAUUUAUAUCUUGAUGAUAUUGAGUACUUCAGUCCAUGAACAUGAGAGAGACACAGCCAGAGAGGGAACACA